GUAGGUGAACCUGCGGAGGGAUCAUUACCGAGUUCGUGCCCUUCGGGGUAGACCUCCCACCCGUGCCGAUUCUCCCUUUGUUGCUUUGGCAGGCCGCGGGCUUUCCCGCCGCCGGCGCUCGCUGGCGCGUGCCUGCCAGAGGCCCAACGCUGAAUUUAGUGUCGUCUCAGUAAAAACUUAAUCGUUAAAACUUUCAACAACGGAUCUCUUGGUUCUGGCAUCGAUGAAGAACGCAGCAUCUGACUGACUC
rnacentral:misc_RNA from 1 species